AACACUUUUUCUUUCGAGGACCAUGGAUUGGAUUUUGAGGAGCUUUUGGGAGCAGGUGAGUACAAGGAGAAGUACCAUGCUGACAUGAUCCAGUGGGGUGAGAAGCAGAGGGAGAAGGACCCAGGGUUCUUCUGUCUUGUGGCCAUCAAGGCAGCCCAUCUGGAUUGUGAGUGACACACGGCAUCUGUCAGACCUGCAGUGGUUCUGGAGGGAGUAUCCUAGUCAGUCUCGCCGUGUUCGGGUGGAGGCCUCAGAAGAGACACGGAGGGAGAGGGGCUGGGAGUUCACAACAGGAAUAGAUGAUGCAGAGUCUGAAUGUGGGCUCGACCAAGGAGUGGAUUUUGAUUGGAUAAUGAAAAAUGAGGGCGAUGGCUCACAACUGGAGGAGCAGCUUGCUACUGGGCUGCUCUCAAUAGCCAAAGAAAAGCCGAAAGAGGACUGACGUAGAGGGGACAUUACACAGCUGUAGGAACUUGCUGAAAGCUCUUGUUGGAAAGUGUAGUUGGGUAUACAUUACACUAUUUUCUGUGAAAAUCCUAAAACACCUUUGAUACACUGAGGAGCAGCAGAAAGUGAGAAUAUGUAGUAUUUAUUUCUCUACAGUGUUCUGUACUAUCAACUAAGUAGCAGGGCAAGAAUACUAAAAUCUGAUCAAACACUGACCGAUAUGUGAAUUUACAUGGAUCACACAGGUAACUGCCAAAAUAAAAUAAACACGCAGGAAAAUGAAGGAUACAAAGUAUAUUGAAAGCUGGUGCUUCCACACAGGUGUGGUUCGUGAGUUAAUUAAGCAAUUAAAACAAUGCUUAGGGUGAUGUAUAAAAAUUAUUUGGGCUACCAUAGCUAGAAGAGAUGUGACUGUCACAUUCAUCCAAUAAAGUUCGACACUUGAAUAGAUGCCAAGGUGCAUUGAAGCUUUUCUGGUGGCACAAUGCCUUAAGACACUUUGGGGUUUCCUUUAUUAUUUUGGCAUUUUCCUGUACUUAGUGAUGUCAGAGGCAAAUUUCACCAAGACCCAAUGUGCAGAUGUUGACUUAAUCUGUACUUGUGUAAAAGUGUCAAAUUGUGCCAUUUAGUUUUUUUUUUUAAUAGUCUUCGAUUGUACAGUAGUUAACUAGGCUACUUUAAAGUAUAGUUUUAGUUGUAAAUAGCUAGAUGAUUAACUGGAAACCUGGAACGUGCACAUAAGCUGACCCAUGGUAAAAUUAGCACAAUACUGCAUUACACAACCAUUCAACAUAAUUAAAAUGUACUAGACACAGACAUGAUCAAUGUUCUAAUAGCAUGGUAAGUGUUAGUUCAUAAAACAUUUAAAAGUAGACAUGAAGGGAGCAGCACCUAGAUUGGAGUGGUGUCAAACUGAAGGUAGAAAGAAAAUACUAUAAAAAUUGUAAUGUCAAUACAAAUCAUGGUUCUUUAUUUUUUUAAAUUGUGUCCAUUUUUGUGUCAUGAUUAUUACAAUCAAAACAUUACUGGUAACAAUGUUUACACCCAUAGCGUCGAGUGAAAAGUUCCAGUUAAACUUGAUGCAAUACUUUACUUUUUAUUUCUUUAUUAAUUACAAGGUUUGCAGUUCACUUAAUUUGCAGGGGGAAAAAAAUAGUUUAGUCUAUACUGAUAAGAAGUUUAGAUAAUACCCUUGUGUCCCUUCUCCCUAUUCAUUGGCCCCUAUGCUUCCAUUUUGGCAGUGGAAUGCGUAGUGAUUGGCUGAUCACACCCCUCCCCUACAUCAUCUUAUUGGAAAAAAUAACAAUUAGCUUAGAGGACUAAGGCUGCAAUUGGCUAGAAUAUCUGCAUCCAAUUCUGUCUGAAGCUAUACGACAUUUAUAUCCCUUCAAUGACCUAAGACUCACAAUUCAAUUUCCUGAUCUUGGGGGGGGGUAAACUGGAAAGAAAAGAAAAAAAUCAGUUUA